GGGAGCCAGGCAGAAGCAAUGUGUGGUUCACACAAGCCUAUCACCAUCAACAGUCAGCUGUUGGCAGGUGCAGCAAACCAGACGUCAUGCCUUGAGCCCUGGCGUGGGUGGCAGUUGGCAGUUGGACAUGACUGAGGAGGGACAUGUAUGCUGUGUCCCUCAGAGCCAGUGUGAGACACGUUAUGAGUGUUACCUGUGCCUUAAAAUUGUGCCCUGUAACUUUGUCCUGUACUGUGCCCUGUGCUUGGAGAAUAAAUAUGUCUCAUGUA